rnacentral:rRNA from 1 species
GACGAACGCUGGCGGCGUGCUUAACACAUGCAAGUCGAACGAUGAUCUCCCGCUUGCGGGGGUGAUUAGUGGCGAACGGGUGAGUAAUACGUGAGUAACCUGCCCUUGACUCUGGGAUAAGCCUGGGAAACCGGGUCUAAUACUGGAUACUACUUCCUGCCGCAUGGUGGGGGGUGGACAGGGUUUUACUGGUUUUGGAUGGGCUCACGGCCUAUCAGCUUGUUGGUGGAGUAAUGGCUCACCAAGGCGACGACGGGUAGCCGGCCUGAGAGGGUGACCGGCCACACUGGGACUGAGACACGGCCCAGACUCCUACGGGAGGCAGCAGUGGGGAAUAUUGCACAAUGGGCGGAAGCCUGAUGCAGCGACGCCGCGUGAGGGAUGACGGCCUUCGGGUUGGAAACCUCUUUCAGCAGGGAAGAAGCCACAAGUGACGGUACCUGCAGAAGAAGCGCCGGCUAACUACGUG